UUACUAUAGUAAUCAUUCGUCUCAUCUGCACAGUUAGCUGCAUAUUUAUGAAAAAUUGAUCCAAUCUAUUUCAUAUAUGAUUAUAUAACCUCAAAAGUUUGAGGAAAUCUAUAUAGCAUCACCUACAAUAAAAGGAAUGUGAACAAAAGUCUGUAAUGUUGAUAUUAGUUCUAUUGCUGCCUACACUGUUAAAACUCUGGUUAAUAGUGGUUGGGACUGGGGUGUGGGUGCUCUUCAGGACCAGACAAGCUCACAGUCAAGCUUUUGGUCGCGCUACACUCUUAUCUGGUGUCUCUGGGGAAGAAUCAGCUUCCCAGCUCAUUCAAGUUUUGGUCAGAGUUUGGUUUCUGAAUGUUGUAGGGCAAGGCACUUGUUUGAUUGAUGUCUGUUAGCCAGAGAUCAUUGUUAGAACCAGGGUCCAUCCUUGUAUGUGGUUGCUCCAUCUUUAAAGUUGCAGCCUAACUACUUAAAUGGGCUAGUCAAAAAUUGAA
rnacentral:lncRNA from 1 species